AGCAGAUCCAUAUAUAUCUAAACUUUUAAAAAAUCCAUACCAACCUUUUCCUGGUCCACAAUGCAUGAAGUCUUGGUUAAUACAUUUAAUUUUUGCUGAAUAAAUAGAUGACUAAAUGCUUAACCAUAACUGUCUGUGAGAAUCUGAGUGCUUGUACUGAGAGUUUGCCUAUGCCUUCAAGUGUUUAUUUAUUGUUGAGAGAGAAAGUGAGCAAAAGAGGGGCAGAGAGAGAGGGGGACAGAGGAUCUGAAGCUGGAAGGCGGACAGCCGGAUGCGGGGCUCAAACCCAUGAGCUGUGAAACCAUGACCUGAGCUGGAGUCUGAUGCUUAACUAACUGAGCGACCCAGGCACCCCUGCCUGUGCCUCCAAACCCUGCAUAUCACCAUACCUCAUCUUUAUAGCCAGGCCUGACCUUACAAUUCUUAAAGGAAGGAAGUGACUGCCACACUAUACAACCUCCUAGGAUGUUUGCUUAAGGAUGGAGAGUCAUAAACGGAUAUUCAGGUUUGAAGGCACAACCCUGUAAUCAAGAGUCAUACACUCUACUGACUGAGCCAGCCAGAUGUCUCUAAGCUCAUUACAUGUGAAGGCGACUUCAGCUGCUUCCUGGAACGGGCCAGGACACAGGGAUGAUGUUCCACGGAUAAGGCUGUGCUGUGCCAGGCGAGGCCCAGACGCACAUCUGGAUGCUUAAACCCCAGCAUACAAUGGCAGCCAGAUGGCUUCAUCUGUCCUUUGAACGUGUCUGUCCUUUUAAAUUCCAGCUUAACGGCCACGUGUUUUAGGCCACUUUUAUCAUCCCAAAAUAGCGCUCUGACCAUGUCUGCAAAGAAGGGCCCCUGAAGCAAACGCAGUGGGCUGGCUGCCAAGGCUGGCAGAAUGAGACACAGUACUUGAAAUAAAUGCAGGGUGUUUGCUUACAGA